CUGUGGCUUAUCCUCCCUCCCCCCAGUAACUUCUGAGUUUUAUCCGCUGUGGAACUUUUGAGUCGUUCCUUCUAGUGCCUUCAGGAGAACACCCUUCCUGAGCUCGAGCAGCAGUGUUUGUGCAAGAGAGAGAAAACAUCUUUCUGACACAGAGAGGCUAACUCCACCGGUUUCUUCUUGCUGCAGCCCUUCUCCAUAAAGGCAAAUAAGGUUAAUCAGCGUUCAGCGUCCUCCGGCCAAAGCCGGAGGUGUGAAUUCCAGCGCUGAGAUCAGUCGAACACCUCAGCGAGCAAGCCACUGAAUGACUGUUUGAGCUCAGGCGCCACAAACAUAAACUUAACAGCUCCCAGUGUGCCGGCCUUGCUGCAGGAUCACUCCUCACCUCCCGGGACUUGUGAAGUGCAGGCGGAGAAGGCAGCUCCCGAGGAGGCGGCGGGGAGGCAGGCUCCGGAGGGGGCUGGGGAGGCAAUGCUCUGUGACCGAGCUUUCCGUAUGCUACUAUUUUGUGGAUGGAAAGCAAAGGAGAUUUAAAUAGAAGCACGAUCUACUGCACUUUAUUCAGAAGUAAACUUCCCUUCCUACUGGAUUUGUUUUCAUCUUCUUGCAAUUUUUACAAAAUACAGCAAAUUUACAGCAAGAAACUUUGAAAAAUGAAAGUGAGAUUCUGGAAGAAAGUUUCCUGUAGUUCUUCAGUCAACUGAUUUCACAAGUGUUUCGAGAACUGACUGCCUCUACAUCCUCAUGAUAGUGCUAUGGCUUGGGAAAGUGAGAAAGGAAUCCAAAGCCAAGAGAAAAAAUACAUCAGUCACACAUCUUUGGAUUAUUUGAUGACUUUCUUGUUUCCCUACCUGUUAUCGGACUCUGAAGAUAAAGGAUUUAUUACACUACUGCUGCUGCAUAGAGCUGAAGCAUGAUUGAUGCCUGCUCCAGACAGUGGCAGAAAAAUGCUGCUUUUGAGGU
ensembl:lncRNA